AAGUUAUUACACUUCAAACCAGUUAAAAAUAUGUAGGUGGCUCCCCCUACAAGUAGGAGUCAUAUUGACAUCGAAUUUUUCAUGUCAAAAAACACCCAGACACAGAAAGCCAGUGAGUUCAGAAAUUAAUGGGAAAAAAUCGGAAUAAAAAUAGAACUUCUUCAUCUUGUAUCGAAUAUACGAACUCUUCUACUUAUUUAUUAUCUGCAGAAUAUUCUACAGAAAUUUCCAGAAUACAAGGGGGACCAUCCUGUAUGUUAUUUAAUCGACUAAUUUACAAUAUCAACGACAAUGGAAGUCACAAAAAUUAAUUUAUUAGUUAAUUUAAACUGAAUGUUCAAGAUAUUGGCACAAAUAGAGAAAAUAAAUAAACAUCCAUAUAAAAGCCUAGAAAAUUGCUAAAGUCUGUCCAAAGAGAGCAUACAGAACAGUGACAACUGUUGUAUGUCAUUUUCAUUCAAAGGUAAAUAGUAUCACAGAUUAGGUAUCCUAUAAGUAUACAGAUAAAAAUCUUGUCCCUAAUUCGUGAUACGAAAAUUGUUUUUUAUGACGAUGUGCAAACGAGUCAAAUUUUCUAUGCGCAAAAAUAA